UUGAGAUUCUAGCUCUCUCCGGAUUGAAUAGUUCAAAGGGACUGUUUAGAGAAGAGAAAGUCGCACCAGCACCGGUCGUCCCCCUCGGCACCUUUUCCCGCCUCAAACAAUUUUCAAUAGGUUAUUGUCGGAAUAUAAAGAAGCUCUUCCCGCCUGGGUUGCUGCUGGACAACCUGGAACAGAUUAAUAUCUGUGAAUGUAAGCAAUUAGAGGAAAUAAUAGGUGGGGCUGAAGCAUCUGAUGAUGAAGUUGAAGAGGAAGCAAAAGAAAUUGUGGAAAUAUUCCCCCAAUUGAGGAAAUUGACAUUACAGUAUUUACCGAAGCUGAAGACCAUAUGCAGUAGCAGUAAUGUAAUACUUUGUGAUUCUCUCAAUUUUAUUAAGAUCUUCAAAUGUCCGAAGCUUAAGAGAUUACCUCUUUCUCGGCACCUUAUUGAUGGAGAACUAUCUUCUCCGCCUUCUUCAUUACAAAUUUAUAUAGAGAAAGAAAGGUGGGAAUCGCUGGAAUGGGACAAUCAUGAUAUGAAGAUGGUCCUUCAACCUCUCUGUCAGUUCGUUAAAUGGUGAAAUCUCAAGGUGGGGGGAGCAGAUUCACAUGACUCUUCCUCUGACACUUCAUCAAGCCAAAGCCGACUCAAGAAAUAAUGGUGUGGCGUGGUCCGCGUGGACCCGCAACUAGAACUUGGCUCUCAAAUGUGUUUCCGUGUAAUUCUUAACUCUUUUGGUUCUGAUUUGCUUUUUAUUUGAACUUUGUUGUGUUAUGAUUUAUGAACAUGUGCUCUUCUCUUUGGCUGA